GAGUUUGAUCAUGGCUCAGGACGAACGCUGGCGGCGUGCCUAAUACAUGCAAGUAGAACGCUGAAGAGAGGAGCUUGCUCUUCUUGGAUGAGUUGCGAACGGGUGAGUAACGCGUAGGUAACCUGCCUGGUAGCGGGGGAUAACUACUGGAAACGAUAGCUAAUACCGCAUAAAAUUGAUUAUUGCAUGAUAAUUAAUUGAAAGAUGCAAUUGCAUCACUACCAGAUGGACCUGCGUUGUAUUAGCUAGUUGGUGAGGUAACGGCUCACCAAGGCGACGAUACAUAGCCGACCUGAGAGGGUGAUCGGCCACACUGGGACUGAGACACGGCCCAGACUCCUGCGGGAGGCAGCAGUAGGGAAUCUUCGGCAAUGGGGGGAACCCUGACCGAGCAACGCCGCGUGAGUGAAGGAGGUUUUCGGAUCGUAAAGCUCUGUUGUAAGAGAAGAACGGGUGUGAGAGUGGAAAGUUCACACUGUGACGGUAUCUUACCAGAAAGGGACGGCUAACUACGUGCCAGCAGCCGCGGUAAUACGUAGGUCCCGAGCGUUGUCCGGAUUUAUUGGGCGUAAAGCGAGCGCAGGCGGUUAGAUAAGUCUGAAGUUAAAGGCUGUGGCUUAACCAUAGUAUGCUUUGGAAACUGUUUAACUUGAGUGCAGAAGGGGAGAGUGGAAUUCCAUGUGUAGCGGUGAAAUGCGUAGAUAUAUGGAGGAACACCGGUGGCGAAAGCGGCUCUCUGGUCUGUAACUGACGCUGAGGCUCGAAAGCGUGGGGAGCAAACAGGAUUAGAUACCCUGGUAGUCCACGCCGUAAACGGUGAGUGCUAGGUGUUAGGCCCUUUCCGGGGCUUAGUGCCGCAGCUAACGCAUUAAGCACUCCGCCUGGGGAGUACGACCGCAAGGUUGAAACUCAAAGGAAUUGACGGGGGCCCGCACAAGCGGUGGAGCAUGUGGUUUAAUUCGAAGCAACGCGAAGAACCUUACCAGGUCUUGACAUCCCUCUGACCGCUCUAGAGAUAGAGUUUUCCUUCGGGACAGAGGUGACAGGUGGUGCAUGGUUGUCGUCAGCUCGUGUCGUGAGAUGUUGGGUUAAGUCCCGCAACGAGCGCAACCCCUAUUGUUAGUUGCCAUCAUUCAGUUGGGCACUCUAGCGAGACUGCCGGUAAUAAACCGGAGGAAGGUGGGGAUGACGUCAAAUCAUCAUGCCCCUUAUGACCUGGGCUACACACGUGCUACAAUGGCUGGUACAACGAGUCGCAAGCCGGUGACGGCAAGCUAAUCUCUGAAAGCCAGUCUCAGUUCGGAUUGUAGGCUGCAACCCGCCUACAUGAAGUCGGAAUCGCUAGUAAUCGCGGAUCAGCACGCCGCGGUGAAUACGUUCCCGGGCC
rnacentral:rRNA from 1 species